rnacentral:rRNA from 1 species
GACGUAGGAGGCGAGCGUUGUCCGGAUUCAUUGGGCGUAAAGAGCACGCAGGCGGUUUGGCAAGUCGGAUGUGAAAACCCGGAGCUCAACUCCGGGCGUGCAUCCGAUACUGCCCGACUAGAGGUAGGUAGGGGAGAUCGGAAUUCCUGGUGUAGCGGUGAAAUGCGUAGAUAUCCGGAGGAACACCGGUGGCGAAGGCGGCUUCCUGGACCGACACUGACGCUGAGGCGCGAAAGCUAGGGGAGCAAACGGG